GGAGGUAUGGCAAAAAUAAGAUCGUUUCUAGAAUUGGUAGUAAACAAAGAAAAAACAAUCGAAGAAUUACUUCAAAAAUCCAGUUGCUCACCUAGAUUCAACACGAAGGAAGAAGACAUCCCAAUUUUGACCCUGAAUCUCGAUCCAAUACAUUCAUCAUAGUUGUUGCACCUCUACAUAGCAUAACAUGCAUUCCAUACCAUAUAAUACCUAGAAUUUUAGUCGAAAUAAAUUUUUCGGAUCUAC
rnacentral:lncRNA from 1 species